GCAUCAGUGACAUGGAGCUGGCAGCAGGUGGCAGUGGAGGUGCUGCCGGCCCCAAUGGCCCCUGAUAAGAGCUGGAUUGCAGUGGGAUGGUGGAGCAGCCGGCUGGCCCCAAUUGUAUCUCUGCAGCUGAAAGAAGUCGGCGUUGUCAACAGAAUAUGUCUGAAGACCAACUAUUGACACAAUGUACCUCUGCAGCCUAAAUAAAGCGGCGUCAUUGACAGAAUAUGUCUGAAAAACUGUCAUCAACAAGUACUGCCAAUACUGCAUUUCUAUCUGUGGAUGAAUGUACCUGGAGUUACAUAUCUGAGAUACUGGAAAAAGAAGAGUUGUGGCCACAGGAACUCAUCCUUCAUCUAUUUGCCACCUGUCCUCAUCAAGACCAAGAAGAAAUUCUGCAAUAGUGUUCAGCCUGACUGUUUCCAAGCAAGAGACUGUUGAAAAAAAUCAUUCUUAAAGGAGGGAAAACCCUAAUCUGAAAAAAGGGGUCACAUUCAUUUAUUUUUUUCUGUCUGUUUACAUUUGAAGUCUUUGAAAAGCAAGUUUAUUCUUACCACUUAAAAGUGACUUAAAAGACAUCAGUAUGAGCUGUUGCUUUAUAGUUGACUUUUAGUCCAAUAGUUUAAGUCACAACAAAAACCAGUCAGUUUUUCCCCUUUGUUCUCUGAUAAACUGCCUUAUAAAUAAAUGAGCAUGCCUGGUCAGUAGUGAGGUUGGCUGAAAGAAAGAGAACGUUUAGGAUAUUUCUUUGAUCUCUUUGAUCCAAUUGUGUGCUUUACUCUGUAGUCAGGAUGCAAGAAAGCAGUCCUUAACAAAAUCGCCAAUGCGAUUUCCAUGUGGACACCAUACGCCAUGCCCUUAAAAUAACUCUUUCUAAUCUUCAGUCUUACAAUGUUCCAGAUUUAAAUUCCAUCUGUACCCACCUCCCAGCUUCUUUUCUGCCACUCCAGGGCUGAGUAGCCAUAAAUAAUCUCUCCAUCUUUGGGGCUGAGUCAAACAUACAGGAUAAUUUAAGAGAAUGCCUUAUCGCUAUGGUUGAAUUUAACUGUAUGGAUUUCAGAAUAAAUAUUCUUUACUGAGAGCUACUA